rnacentral:rRNA from 1 species
UACAGAGGGUGCGAGCGUUAAUCGGAAUUACUGGGCGUAAAGGGUGCGUAGGUGGUUAAUUAAGUUAGAUGUGAAAUCCCUGAGCUUAACUUAGGAAUUGCAUUUAAUACUGAUUGGCUAGAGUACAGAAGAGGGAAGUGGAAUUUCCGGUGUAGCGGUGAAAUGCGUAGAUAUCGGAAGGAACAUCAGUGGCGAAGGCGACUUCCUGGUCUGUUACUGACACUGAGGCACGAAAGCGUGGGGAGCGAACAGG